rnacentral:rRNA from 1 species
GAUGAACGCUGGCGGCGUGCCUAAUACAUGCAAGUCGAGCGAACAGACGAGGAGCUUGCUCCUCUGACGUUAGCGGCGGACGGGUGAGUAACACGUGGAUAACCUACCUAUAAGACUGGGAUAACUUCGGGAAACCGGAGCUAAUACCGGAUAAUAUAUUGAACCGCAUGGUUCAAUAGUGAAAGACGGUUUUGCUGUCACCUAUAGAUGGAUCCCCGCCGCAUUAGCUAGUUGGUAAGGUAACGGCUUACCAAGGCAACGAUGCGUAGCCGACCUGAGAGGGUGAUCGGCCACACUGGAACUGAGACACGGUCCAGCCUCCUACGGGAGGCAGCAGUAGGGAAUCUUCCGCAAUGGGCGAAAGCCUGCCGGAGCAACGCCGCGUGAGUGAUGAAGGUCUUCGGAUCGUAAACCUCUGUUAUUAGGGAAGAACAAAUGUGUAAGUGACUAUGCACGUCUUGACGGUACCUAAUCAGAAAGCCACGGCUAACUACGUG